rnacentral:rRNA from 1 species
UACGUAGGGUGCGAGCGUUAAUCGGAAUUACUGGGCGUAAAGCGUGCGCAGGCGGUUUCACAAGCUCGAUGUGAAAGCCCCGGGCUUAACCUGGGAAUGGCAUUGAGGACUGUGGAGCUCGAGUGCGGCAGAGGGAGGUGGAAUUCCACGUGUAGCAGUGAAAUGCGUAGAUAUGCGGAGGAACACCGAUGGCGAAGGCAAUCCCCUGGACCUGUACUGACGCUCAUGCACGAAAGCGUGGGGAGCAAACAGG